CUGGAUUCUACUGCUGCCUUCUCCUCCACUACUGGACAAAGUCUCAGGAACAAUGCCUGCCAGAGAAAUGAUGUCUCAUGUGUGACUUUGACUAACACCGCCUGCUGGGUUGGAGAUAAUGAAACAUUGCCAGUGGAACGUGCUAACUCACUUGUUGAAGGAGCUCAGUUCUCCCAUUACUCCCCUCGAACCGGGCCAGUAAAAGGCUCUUCAGUUCGCUGAAAGACACAACAGAAGAUCCAUUCUUAUAAGUCUGGAGCGACUCAACCAAAGAACCUAGCCCAGUUGACAAACUCAGUCAAAUACUGAACUGACGACAUCGACGAGAAAUUGGCACCUUCAAAAAGCUUGAAAACAUGAACCUGACUCAUCCUGAGCAACAUUUAAAGACGCGAGGAACGACUCCAGAAUGUUUUCUAUUAAAGAUUAUAAGUUGUGA